rnacentral:rRNA from 1 species
AGAGUUUGAUCCUGGCUCAGGAUGAACGCUAGCGGCAGGCCUAACACAUGCAAGUCGAGGGGCAGCACAAAAGAAGCUUGCUUCUUUGGUGGCGACCGGCGCACGGGUGAGUAACGCGUAUGCAACUUACCCCUGACUGGAGAAUAGCCCAGAGAAAUCUGGAUUAAUACCCCAUAAUAUUAUCGAAUCGCAUGGUUUGAUAAUUAAAGUUCCGGCGGUACAGGAUGGGCAUGCGUCCUAUUAGCUAGUUGGUGAGGUAACGGCUCACCAAGGCAACGAUAGGUAGGGGUCCUGAGAGGGUUAUCCCCCACACUGGUACUGAGACACGGACCAGACUCCUACGGGAGGCAGCAGUGAGGAAUAUUGGGCAAUGGACGCAAGUCUGACCCAGCCAUGCCGCGUGCAGGAAGACGGUCCUCUGGAUUGUAAACUGCUUUUAUAUGGGAAGAAACCCCUCUACGUGUAGAGGACUGACGGUACCAUACGAAUAAGGACCGGCUAACUCCGUGCCAGCAGCCGCGGUAAUACGGAGGGUCCAAGCGUUAUCCGGAUUCAUUGGGUUUAAAGGGUCCGCAGGUGGAAAGAUAAGUCAGUGGUGAAAUCCCAUGGCUCAACCAUGGAAUUGCCAUUGAUACUGUUUUUCUUGAGUAUGUUUGAAGUGGGCGGAAUGUGUCAUGUAGCGGUGAAAUGCAUAGAGAUGACACAGAACACCAAUUGCGAAGGCAGCUCACUAAGUCAUUACUGACGCUAAUGCACGAAAGCGUGGGGAGCGAACAGGAUUAGAUACCCUGGUAGUCCACGCCGUAAACGAUGAUUACUCGACAUUGGCGAUAAACUGUCAGUGUCCAAGCGAAAGUGUUAAGUAAUCCACCUGGGGAGUACGAUCGCAAGGUUGAAACUCAAAGGAAUUGACGGGGGCCCGCACAAGCGGUGGAGCAUGUGGUUUAAUUCGAUGAUACGCGAGGAACCUUACCAGGACUUAAAUGUUUUCUGACAGGCUGGGAAACCAGUUUUUCUUCGGACAGAUUACAAGGUGCUGCAUGGCCGUCGUCAGCUCGUGCCGUGAGGUGUCGGGUUAAGUCCCAUAACGAGCGCAACCCCUAUCUUUAGUUGCUAACAGGUUAAGCUGAGGACUCUAGAGAAACUGCCAGCGUAAGCUGCGAGGAAGGUGGGGAUGACGUCAAAUCAUCACGGCCCUUACGUCCUGGGCCACACACGUGCUACAAUGGUCGGUACAGAGGGCAGCUACCCCGCGAGGGGAUGCGAAUCUCGAAAGCCGGUCUCAGUUCGGAUCGAAGUCUGCAACUCGACUUCGUGAAGCUGGAAUCGCUAGUAAUCGCGCAUCAGCCAUGGCGCGGUGAAUACGUUCCCGGGCCUUGUACACACCGCCCGUCAAGCCAUGGAAGUUGGGGGUGCCUGAAGCCGGUGACCGCAAGGAGCUGUCUAGGGCAAAACCAAUGACUGGGGCUAAGUCGUAACAAGGUA